CAGUAGCCGCGGGAAUACAGAGGGUGCAAGCGUUAAUCGGAUUUACUGGGCGUAAAGGGCGCGUAGGUGGUGGUUUAAGUCCGUUGUGAAAGCCCUGGGCUCAACCUGGGAAUUGCAGUGGAUACUGGGUCACUAGAGUGUGGUAGAGGAUAGUGGAAUUUCCGGUGUAGCAGUGAAAUGCGUAGAGAUCGGAAGGAACAUCUGUGGCGAAGGCGACUAUCUGGGCCAACACUGACACUGAGGCACGAAAGCGUGGGGAGCAAACAGGAUUAGAUACCCCUGUAGUCCCUGUCUCUUAUAC
rnacentral:rRNA from 1 species